UCCCGCAGCCGACGGCCCGGAUGUCUCGCGGCGCGCGCACAAUUCUCGCGAUAGUGGAGCGAAGACGGCCGUGCGCGCCUGGGCGCUGGGCGAGGCUGGGGCGCGCGGGAGAGGCGCGAAGGUGGCCGAGGUGGCGGGCGGUGCGUGGCCGCUGCCGGGCGGUUGGCGUCAGCCGACGUUCCAGCCGAGUGCCGGCACCGGUAAUGCUGGGUGGGUAGAGCCGCCCGGCGGGUCUCCUCCCAGUAACCUGUACGGAUCUGAGGGGGUCUUGGGAUGACGGAGGAGAGCUUCGGAUGAGAUAUUCUUAAACAUUUGGAAGAGAAAGUUGGAAAUGGAAAUGCAGCGAUGUGCUCUGUAGGCUGGUGUGCAGACUGCAGGCUGUGCUGGAGACGGCACAGCGCUGAGUGAAGGGCUCCCACCUGGCGUGUCCCUUAUUGGAUGCUUCCAAGAACAAGUGAAAAUCCCUAGUUGAGGAGAAAGGCAUCCGGUUGGGUGUUCAUUUUAUGUCACUGUAUUGCAUUUGACACGUUCUGAGCAGAUCCCAUGGCUGUAGACCUGGAGCAAGAUGAAAGGUGGAAGUGCGUGCCCGGGUGUGAUGGGAACAGGGAGGAAUGCAGCAGGGUCUGACCCACUGCUGGCAGUGAGAUGGUCAAUUGCUUCACCUGCUCUUUGCCUUUUAGAUUUUGAGUGUUGAGGAAUGUCUCUUGCUUCUCUGGGAUGCUGUGUUCUAUGCAAGCCCCCCCUGGUGCACACUGAAGGAAAAUGAAAGCUUUUAGCUGAGGUUGUGAGCUGGAGUGAGACGCUAUAUGCAAGUGAGUCUCUGGCCUUUGUUGCUGGAAAGAGAUAGCCAAAUUAUGAAUCAAACAUUUUCAGAUAUGAAUGUCUUGAGAACUGAAACAGGUGAUUUCAGAAGUGUGAAUUUCUGCUUUAAGAAUUGUUAAUGCACAUUUCCCAUUGAAGUGGUUUUGUAAAUAGUGAACUUUAAUUGCUUACUGGGACAUUUCAGAAAGGUAUGAAUGAGAUCACAUGUUGGUGCCACUGGGAUACAGGACUGGGCAAACCUGCUGCAGCCUGCAGGGAAGUGCACUGUCAGUCAAGCAGCCUCCUGGCCGAUGAAAUAAUUACUGUAUGUAAGUUGUGAUUGUAAGGGGGAAAACAAAAGAAGCCAGCUGAUGUUGUGUUACUUAAAACUUUGUAGGCACAAAAGAAAAGAUAAAAAUUAAUGGAAAGUGUCCUGAGAAAAAUACAGAAAUGAGUGGCACAGAUGGGCCUCGAAAAUCAGUGGAAAAGGUAAACCUCACAGCUACUAUGAAAGCUGUAGUAGAUGACCAGAACAAGGAACACUGAGUUAAUUGGACCUGCAUUUCAGUUCAAAGGAGCUGCCUUAGCCUCACCUUUUGCAGCACAUUAUGCUCAGAUUCCCAAGGCUCCCAUGGCUUGUGGGCUGCUUUUGUGAGUUCUUGCUAACCACAACUAUGUAUUAUUCCUUAAUUUAGUAUGGUUGUGUAUGUGUCCAGAAAAGCAUGUUUGAUAGAGGACUUGGUCUUUGUCUUAACUGUGGAAAGCUCAAUUAGCAUGUUUUGGCAAGAGCAUAAACAUCUUCUGAAUAUCUCUGCAGUCAGCUUGGAAAGAAGAAACUCAAAUUUGAUGGAGUUGCUACUGCAGACAGGCUUUACCUGCUGGUAGAAGAACAGUGCAUUUUCUUUGCAAAUGUGAUUGCUGGUAUUUCCUGCAUUUUGUGCUUUGGUAGCAUCCUUUCAGUACCUGAAGGGGGCCAACAGGACAGCUGGGGUGGGAUUUUUUAUAAAGGCAUGUAGCAACAGGCCAAAGGGAAGUGAGUUUAAACUGGAUGAGGAUAGAUUUAGACUAGAUGGUAGGAAGAAUUUCUUUACUGUGAGGGCGGUGAGACACUGGGAUGGGUUGCCCAG